GUCAGGACGAACGCUGGCGGCGUGCCUAAUACAUGCAAGUCGAGCGGACAGAUGGGAGCUUGCUCCCUGAUGUUAGCGGCGGACGGGUGAGUAACACGUGGGUAACCUGCCUGUAAGACUGGGAUAACUCCGGGAAACCGGGGCUAAUACCGGAUGGUUGUUUGAACCGCAUGGUUCAAACAUAAAAGGUGGCUUCGGCUACCACUUACAGAUGGACCCGCGGCGCAUUAGCUAGUUGGUGAGGUAACGGCUCACCAAGGCAACGAUGCGUAGCCGACCUGAGAGGGUGAUCGGCCACACUGGGACUGAGACACGGCCCAGACUCCUACGGGAGGCAGCAGUAGGGAAUCUUCCGCAAUGGACGAAAGUCUGACGGAGCAACGCCGCGUGAGUGAUGAAGGUUUUCGGAUCGUAAAGCUCUGUUGUUAGGGAAGAACAAGUACCGUUCGAAUAGGGCGGUACCUUGACGGUACCUAACCAGAAGC
rnacentral:rRNA from 1 species